rnacentral:rRNA from 1 species
GACGAACGCUGGCGGCGUGCUUAACACAUGCAAGUCGAACGGUGAAGCGCUUUCCUUUUUGGUUGGUGUGGAUGAGUGGCGAACGGGUGAGUAACACGAGCGUAACCUGCCCUCUUCUUCUGGAUAACGGCAUGAAAGUUUGGCUAAUACGGGAUAUUCUGGGUCUGUCGCAGGAUGGGACUGGGAAAGAUAUUGUUUCGGUGGGGGAUGGUCUCGCGGCCUAUCAGGGUGUUGGUGGGGUGCUGGCCUACCAAGGCGGUGAGGGGUAGCCGGGCUGAGAGGGUGAGCCGCCCUGAGAGGGAGACGAGACGCAGCAGCCUCCUGCGGGAGGCAGCAGUGGGUAUUAGGGCACAAGGGGGGGACGGCUGAUGCAGCGCCGCGGCGUGAGGGAGGGACGCCGGGUGGUUGAGAACCUCUUUCGGGAGGGAAGCAGGCCUGGCUAGUGUCUGGGUGGGUUGACGGUAGCUGGAUAAGAAGCGCCGGCUAACUUCGUG